UGGGGAAUUCUUGGACAAUGGCGAAAGCCUGAUCCAGCACAUGCCGCGUGCAGUGAUGAAGGCCCUCGGGUUGUAAACUGCUUUUGUACGGAACGAAAAGCCUGGGGCUAAUAUCCCCGGGUCAUGACGGUACCGUAAGAAUAAGCACCGGCUAACUACGUG
rnacentral:rRNA from 1 species